AGUGUUUGUCUUCACUAUUCAUCUUGCACUGACUAUGAACUUUGUUUUGUUAAUUCAUUUUAUAGGAUUUUAAUUGAGAAUAAUUGAGACUGGGAUCUGAAAAGCAAGUUUCUACAGUCCACAGAGUCAUCACGAUCAGAAUAUCAUUGGCAUUUAACUGUGAAAGGAGAAAGAGAUAUGACUCCAGUGGCUUCAUGGGGACUACAACUCCCACAAUCUCUGAAGCAGGGACCACACGUGUGUGGGGAAACCCGGCACUGUACAUGUAUAGAAUGUGGGCGGGUUUUGGAGCAUGUGCUUUGGGGUGCUAGAUAGUGAAGAUUUGCAGACUGAAAUAUCAACAUCAUGUGCGGAUCGUGAUAACGUUAACCAGCAUGUGAAGAACCAAAGAUGGAGAAUCACACGGCCAAAAUCCUGCAACUCUCUCCCUCCCAGCAUUAACGGUCUAUCUGCGCCAAAUGGACUGUGAAU